ACGGGUGGCACGCCGAAUCCCUGCCCCCAUCCGCCGGAAACAGAAACCCGAUGGCAGGAGCGGGGGAACCAAAUCCCGGCCGCCGAUGUCAGGCGGCCUUGGGGUGAAGCCGUAAAGCCUCCGGCAACCGAUGAGGAAAUCGUCUACCUCGCUGCCGAAGACACAGGAAUCAUGACCUUCCUGGUAUGCGGCCGGGCUUGUUCCCUGCCCGAACCCGACAGCUCACCUCGCAGGCGUGGGGAAGGAAACU
rnacentral:sRNA from 2 species